rnacentral:rRNA from 1 species
UACAGAGGGUGCAAGCGUUAAUCGGAAUUACUGGGCGUAAAGCGUGCGUAGUCGGUUAUUUAAGUCGGGUGUGAAAGCCCCGGGCUCAACCUGGGAAUGGCAAUGGAUACUGGCAGGCUAGAGUGCGGUAGAGGGUAGUGGAAUUCCCGGUGUAGCGGUGAAAUGCGUAGAGAUCGGGAGGAACACCAGUGGCGAAGGCGGCUACCUGGACCAGCACUGACACUGAGGCACGAAAGCGUGGGGAGCAAACAGG